rnacentral:rRNA from 1 species
UACACACCGCCCGUCACACCAUGAGAGUUGGGAAUACCCGAAGCCUGUGAGCUAACAUUUAUGAGGCAGCAGUCGAAGGUAGAAUCAAUGAUUGGGGUGAAGUCGUAACAAGGUAAC